UACGUAGGGGGCGAGCGUUGUCCGGAGUUACUGGGCGUAAAGCGCACGCAGGCGGUCUGCUAAGUUUGGCGUGACAGUUGGUGGCUCAACCACCAAAGUGCUUUGAAAACUGAUAGACUUGAGGGCUUCAGAGGGACACGGAAUUCCGGGUGGAGUGGUGAAAUGCGUAGAGAUCCGGAGGAACACCAAAGGCGAAGGCAGUGUCCUGGGGAGUACCUGACGCUCAGGUGCGAAAGCCAGGGGAGCGAACGGG
rnacentral:rRNA from 1 species